GGGACUGAGAUACGGCCCAGACUCUUUUUGGAGGCAGCAGUGAGGAAUCUUGGACAAUGGGCGCAAGCUUGAUCCAGCUAUUUCGCGUGGGUGAAGAAGGUUAUGUUGAUCGUAAAGCCCUUUCAUGGAGGUGAAAGAUAAUGUCUUAACUCUAAAAAGAAGCUCCGGCAAAUUCUGUGCCAGCAGCCGCGGUAAGACAGGAGGAGCGAGUGUUAUUCAGAAUUAUUGGGCGUAAAGGGCAUGUAGGUGGAUUCUGUGGGUUAAUUGUGCCAUUCCAAAUGUUAUCAUUGGGUUUGCGAUUAAUACUUAGUAUCUUGAGAUCAAUGGAGGAAAAUAGAAUUUCUAGUGGAGAGGUUAAAUUCUUAGAGAUUAGAAGGAAUAUCUAAAGCGAAGGCAAUUUUCUGGGUUGAAUCUGACACUGAGGUGCGAAAGCGUG
rnacentral:rRNA from 1 species